AGUGAACGCUGGCGGUAGACCUAACACAUGCAAGUCGAACGGCAGCACAGUAAGAGCUUGCUCUUACGGGUGGCGAGUGGCGGACGGGUGAGGAAUACUCGGAAUCUACUUUUUCGUGGGGGAUAACGUAGGGAAACUUACGCUAAUACCGCAUACGACCUACGGGUGAAAGCAGGGGAUCUUCGGACCUUGCGCGAUUGAAUGAGCCGAUGUCGGAUUAGCUAGUUGGCGGGGUAAAGGCCCACCAAGGCGACGAUCCGUAGCUGGUCUGAGAGGAUGAUCAGCCACACUGGAACUGAGACACGGUCCAGACUCCUACGGGAGGCAGCAGUGGGGAAUAUUGGACAAUGGGCGCAAGCCUGAUCCAGCCAUACCGCGUGGGUGAAGAAGGCCUUCGGGUUGUAAAGCCCUUUUGUUGGGAAAGAAAAGCAGCAGGUUAAUACCCCGCUGUUCUGACGGUACCCAAAGAAUAAGCACCGGCUAACUUCGUG
rnacentral:rRNA from 1 species